AUCAAAUUAGCAAUCUCACCCAAUUGACGAAUUCUCCAGAAGAGCCUCUAGGAUGAAAGAAAUAAUGUCACUAUUCUGCCCUCAACAUAGCCAUGUAAUAAGUAGAAUAGUUUACAUCCUGAAGGGUAUGACACAAGUUUUGUUGGAACUAUCUUUAAAAAUAGUUUAAAAAAGAUUCUUUAGCCACUGAAGAAAUUGCUGGUAUGACUUUUAGACUAGGUCGCUCUUUUUAAGAAAUUUUGUGAUGGUGUUCAAAAAUGGGCAAGCAAAUUUUCAACCAUGUCGUCGCUAUGAUAAAAUAGCCCACUUGCGACCCUAUCAGUUCUACAUCACUAUAACAUGUGUUCUAAAGGAAUGAAAGAAAGAGGGAGAAGUUGACUUAGAAUUGCAUCAAGUAGAAAAUGUAGAAGAAAGAAAAUGCGCUAGUUGUUGUGUUUUAGUGUGAGAAGAAGUGAGGAAGAGUAACUCUAUUUAUAGGUUAGGAGCCAAGAUAGAUAGGUUACAAAAACAAUGGCUAAGAUCAUUUAACUGUUACAAAAUCAACAAUGUGAUCUUGCCUGCUUGUUGUUGUGUUUUAGCGUGAGAAGAAGUGAGGAAGAGUAACUCUAUUUAUAGGUCAGGAGCCAAGAUAGAUAGGUUACAAAAAC
rnacentral:lncRNA from 1 species